rnacentral:lncRNA from 1 species
CAGCUGUCCACAUGUGAGGUCCCAGCAUCCUUAUCCUCUCCUCAUUCCGUGGAUCAGCAUUCCAUCUCCUCCCGGCGACUCAACUCUAUCCCAUGAACAGCCUUCGGAUCAGCUUCAUCCCGAAUUCCAUGGAUUAACAGCUUCCCUUCUUCAUCCAAACUUCCAGCUCAUAUUUCCUCCAUUACCGUUCAGCUCCAUUAACAAAAAAAUCCAAGCUUAUCCCCUAUUUCAUGCGUCUUCUUCUCAGCCGCUUCCCAAACCGAGAUCCUCACAAUCUUCUUCCGGAUUCCUCUCUCCCAU